UACUAAUAUUAAAAAUUUGAUCCAUAUCCCUAUAAAACUCGAAAAUCUGUUUAAGUAUAUAACCAUAAAAAAAGCUUUUGCUAAACUUAACUUGACCUUGCUAGUUCUUUUCCGUUCAGCUACCGCGAUUGGAACAUGUCUUAUUCACCUGAAAGAAGAUCGGACGAUUGGACAGACGACUCCAAAAAUGGCCCCGCUAAAGAUCAAGGCUAUGACGGCCCUCCCGGCAUGGAGCCUGGUGGAGCUCUCGACACAAAUUGGGACGAAGUUGUGGAAAGCUUCGAUGACAUGAAUUUGAAAGAAGAAUUGUUGAGAGGAAUAUAUGCUUACGGUUUUGAGAAACCGUCUGCUAUUCAACAACGCGCUAUAAUGCCUUGCAUUCAAGGCCGUGAUGUUAUAGCUCAAGCUCAGUCAGGAACUGGCAAAACGGCUACUUUCUCGAUUUCAAUUCUUCAACAAAUUGAUACCAGUAUUCGUGAAUGUCAAGCUCUUAUUUUGGCACCAACUAGAGAGUUAGCUCAACAGAUUCAAAAGGUGGUGAUAGCCCUUGGCGAUCAUUUAAAUGCUAAAUGCCAUGCUUGCAUUGGUGGAACCAAUGUACGGGAGGAUAUGCGUCAAUUGGAGAGUGGUGUCCACGUGGUGGUUGGAACCCCAGGCCGUGUAUAUGAUAUGAUUACUCGUCGUGCACUUAGGGCCAACACUAUCAAGCUCUUUGUACUUGAUGAGGCUGAUGAAAUGUUGUCUAGGGGUUUCAAAGACCAAAUUCAUGACGUAUUCAAGAUGCUUUCUGCUGAUGUCCAAGUUAUUCUGCUAUCAGCUACUAUGCCCGACGAUGUGUUGGAAGUGUCUCGGUGUUUCAUGAGAGAUCCUGUUCGUAUUCUUGUGCAAAAAGAAGAGCUUACCCUGGAAGGUAUUAAACAAUUCUUUAUCUCCAUUGACCAAGAAGAGUGGAAGUUGGAUACUCUUUGUGACUUGUAUGAUACACUAUCAAUUGCUCAGGCUGUAAUUUUCUGCAACACCCGUCGCAAGGUUGACUGGCUCACAGAAUCCAUGCAUGAGCGUGAUUUCACUGUGUCUGCCAUGCACGGUGACAUGGAACAGCGCGAGCGUGAGGUGAUCAUGCGGCAGUUCCGUACUGGUUCUUCCAGAGUACUUAUUACCACCGACCUUCUUGCUCGUGGUAUUGAUGUGCAACAAGUUUCUUGCGUUAUCAACUAUGAUUUACCAACUAAUCGUGAAAAUUACAUUCAUAGGAUUGGAAGAGGUGGCCGUUUCGGUCGUAAGGGAAUUGCUAUUAACUUCGUGACUGAAACUGACAAGAGGGCGUUAAAAGAUAUUGAGGAAUUCUACCACACUACUAUUACUGAAAUGCCCAGCGAUGUGGCCAACCUUAUCUGAGGUGCCUACGCAUUCCGGUUUAUACUUUUGUGUCCUGCAUUCUAUUGCGAUAUUUAUACAGUGCGUAAGACCGGCUCGGCCGGAUGGCCCCCGUUCCGCGUAGACCUCUCUGUCACUUGCAGAGGGGUCUCAUCGGGUACUGGAGAGGCUAUUUCAAUCACAAAAGUACUAGAAGGAAAUAAUGUAUUGUAACCUCUUUUUUCCAGUUGUACAUAAUAUGGUAACUGUUUUUUGUAAUUCAGUAAAUAAAUAUAAUUAAA
rnacentral:misc_RNA from 1 species